GCAAAGAAAAGAAAAGGAGAGGAGGCUGUAUUAUUUUGUAGAUGUUUCCAUCUCUGUUUUUUGAUUUUGUUGUUUUUCUUUCUUCUCUCUCUCUCUCUCUC
rnacentral:ribozyme from 13 species